rnacentral:rRNA from 2 species
CGGAGGAAAAGAAACCAACAGGGAUUGCCUCAGUAACGGCGAGUGAAGCGGCAAAAGCUCAAAUUUGAAAUCCCCCGGGAAUUGUAAUUUGAAGAGAUUUGGGUCCGGCCGGCGGGGGUUAAGUCCACUGGAAAGUGGCGCCACAGAGGGUGACAGCCCCGUGAACCCCUUCAACGCCCUCAUCCCAGAUCUCCAAGAGUCGAGUUGUUUGGGAAUGCAGCUCUAAGUGGGUGGUAAAUUCCAUCUAAAGCUAAAUACCGGCGAGAGACCGAUAGCGAACAAGUACAGUGAUGGAAAGAUGAAAAGCACUUUGAAAAGAGAGUGAAAAAGUACGUGAAAUUGUUGAAAGGGAAGGGCUUGCAAGCAGACACUUAACUGGGCCAGCAUCGGGGCGGCGGGGAACAAAACCACCGGGGAAUGUACCUUUCGAGGAUUAUAACCCCGGUCCUUACUUCCUCGCCGCCCCGAGGCCUGCAAUCUAAGGAUGCUGGCGUAAUGGUUGCAAGUCGCCCGUCUUG